rnacentral:rRNA from 1 species
AUUGAACGCUGGCGGCAUGCUUUACACAUGCAAGUCGAACGGUAACAGGCCUUCGGGUGCUGACGAGUGGCGCACGGGUGAGUAAUGCAUCGGAACGUACCCAGAGGUGGGGGAUAACGCGGCGAAAGCUGUGCUAAUACUGCAUGUGAUCUGAGGAUGAAAGCGGGGGACCGAGCAGCAAUGUUUGGCCUCGCGCCUUUGGAGCGGCCGAUGUCGGAUUAGCUAGUUGGUGGGGUAAAGGCCUACCAAGGCGACGAUCCGUAGCUGGUCUGAGAGGACGACCAGCCACACUGGGACUGAGACACGGCCCAGACUCCUACGGGAGGCAGCAGUGGGGAAUUUUGGACAAUGGGCGCAAGCCUGAUCCAGCAAUGCCGCGUGCGGGAAGAAGGCCUUCGGGUUGUAAACCGCUUUUGGCAGGAACGAAACGGUGUCCGCUAAUACCGGGCGCUAAUGACGGUACCUGCAGAAUAAGCACCGGCUAACUACGUG